AUUGAACGCUGGCGGCAGGCCUAACACAUGCAAGUCGAACGGUAACAGGAAGAAGCUUGCUUCUUUGCUGACGAGUGGCGGACGGGUGAGUAAUGUCUGGGAAACUGCCUGAUGGAGGGGGAUAACUACUGGAAACGGUAGCUAAUACCGCAUAACGUCGCAAGACCAAAGAGGGGGACCUUCGGGCCUCUUGCCAUCGGAUGUGCCCAGAUGGGAUUAGCUAGUAGGUGGGGUAACGGCUCACCUAGGCGACGAUCCCUAGCUGGUCUGAGAGGAUGACCAGCCACACUGGAACUGAGACACGGUCCAGACUCCUACGGGAGGCAGCAGUGGGGAAUAUUGCACAAUGGGCGCAAGCCUGAUGCAGCCAUGCCGCGUGUAUGAAGAAGGCCUUCGGGUUGUAAAGUACUUUCAGCGGGGAGGAAGGGAGUAAAGUUAAUACCUUGCUCAUUGACGUACCCGCA
rnacentral:rRNA from 1 species